rnacentral:lncRNA from 13 species
UUGUUAAAUUGUUAGUGGACCGGCCCUUAUCUCCACUGGAGUGUGUAGUGUCUGAAUAAUGGAUGUUGUUUUAACAGAUCAGACACCAAUCACACACUUCUGCUGUUAACAUGCAACAAUGCAUUGUCUCUAAACCUAUGUGACAUUAUAACCAUGUCACUGAUCCAUGGCUAUAUCUGUCAUCUUAAUAAAAAAGAAGCAAUAGGGACUAAGACAUAUUUUGCUUAUUUUCUAUGCAUAGCAAUUACAAAGAGCAAAGGACAUUUUCUCAUUGAAAUUAUAGUGUGAAGUCUUGUAUAUAAAAAUGCCAAAGAUGUAUGAGACCACACAUACUUAAUGUAAUUGACUGACUUCCUGUCUCUGAGGUGUGAAUGUUGUUUUAUAUGAAAUCAUAAUAUUAAAAACAACUUUUGUAUUUUGUUUUGCAAUCAUUUACAGAGGACAUGUGGAGAGUUUUGCUAAAUCAAGUUCGCUUCUCCACAGUCAUGUGAUUUUUUGUUUUUGGACAUGAUCAUAUUUUUCUUGCGCAACCUUUAGAUAACAUUUCCUGCCACUAUCUUAUCUGUAGAUUUGUCGAAGAAAUGGAUGAAUGUGCAUGAGCUCCGAUUAAUCAUAACUCUGCUAGUUGUAUAUAUGGUUUGGGUGGUAUACAAAUGUUUUGGCUGGCGGUAUAAUAAGUGCAAUUGAUAGCUGUUUUUUUUUCUCUCUCUGGGUGCAUCAGUGUUUUUAUUCUCUCUCUCUGGGUGCAUCAGUGUUUUUAUUCUCUCUCUGGGUGCAUCAGUGUUUUUAUUCUCUCUCUGGGUGCAUCAGUGUUUUUAUUCUCUCUCUGGGUGCAUCAGUGUUUUUAUUCUCUCUCUCUGGGUGCAUCAGUGUUUUUAUUCUCUCUCUCUGGGUGCAUCAGUGUUUUUAUUCUCUCUCUGGGUGCAUCAGUGUUUUUAUUCUCUCUCUCUGGGUGCAUCAGUGUUUUUAUUCCCACCCUUGUUUGAAGAUAAAUUUAUACGAGAAUUCAGUUUUACAAAAAGCAUAUAGACAUUUCUUUGGUUCACUCUUGCCUGUAAAGCUUUAGGGAAAG